ACGACUCUCGGCAACGGAUAUCUCGGCUCUCGCAUCGAUGAAGAACCGUAGCGAAAUGCGAUACUUGGUGUGAAUUGCAGAAUCCCGUGAACCAUCGAGUUUUUGAACGCAAGUUGCGCCCAAAGCCUUUCGGCUGAGGGCACGUCUGCCUGGGUGUCACGCAACAU
rnacentral:rRNA from 1 species